CACCAGACUCCUACGGGAGGCAGCAGUGAGGAAUAUUGGUCAAUGGGCGCGAGCCUGAACCAGCCAAGUCGCGUGAGGGAAGACGGUCCUAUGGAUUGUAAACCUCUUUUGUCGGGGAGCAAAAGACGCCACGCGUGGCGUUCCGAGAGUACCCGAAGAAAAAGCAUCGGCUAACUCCGUGCCAGCAGCCGCGGUAAUACGGAGGAUGCGAGCGUUAUCCGGAUUUAUUGGGUUUAAAGGGUGCGCAGGCGGAAGAUCAAGUCGGGGGUAAAAUUGAGAGGCUCAACCUCUUCGAGCCGUUGAAACUGGUUUUCUUGAGUGAGCGAGAAGGAUGCGGAAUGCGUGGUGUAGCGGUGAAAUGCAUAGAUAUAACGCAGAACUCCGAUUGCGAAGGCAGCAUACCGGCGCUCAACUGACGCUCAUGCACGAAAGUGUGGGGAUCGAACAGGAUUAGAUACCCUGGUAUAC
rnacentral:rRNA from 1 species